rnacentral:rRNA from 1 species
UACGAAGGGGGCUAGCGUUGCUCGGAAUGACUGGGCGUAAAGGGCGCGUAGGCGGCUUUUCAAGUGACGGGUGAAAUCCCUCGGCUUAACCGAGGAACUGCCUGUCAGACUGGAAGGCUUGAGACCGGGAGAGGUGAGUGGAAUUCCCAGUGUAGCGGUGAAAUGCGUAGAUAUUGGGAGGAACACCAGUGGCGAAGGCGGCUCACUGGACCGGAACUGACGCUGAGGCGCGAAAGCGUGGGGAGCAACAGG